CAGGUGCAUUCUCCUAUCCCUCUUGCAUCUGGCCCACGAGAAGUGAGAGGAAAAAGCAGCCACUGUUUGCUCCCUCAAAGGCUGAAAUGCUCGAUUGGCAGACACGCCUAUUACUUAAACAGAAGAUAAGAGGAAAAGCGAGAAGCAGGUCUUACUGGGUAAUACUCGAUGAUAGAAACUGCGAUCUUGAAAAUCUGAAAACGUUUUGUGUUUGAAUUAUCCGAGAAAAUGAAACAAACAAUCAUGACUUUUGUGAGUUUGAUGGACUAUCAGAGUUUCAAAGAUAACCCCGGGGAACGUUUUAAUAAAUAUUGGUGGGUGA